rnacentral:rRNA from 1 species
AUUGAACGCUGGCGGCAGGCCUAACACAUGCAAGUCGAGCGAGCGGCGGGCGGGUGUGUAUAGUAUGGGGACUCCCCGAUAGAGGGGGAUAACUACUGGAAACGGUAGCUAUUACCCCAUACCAUCGGAUUGACCAUAUGGGAUUUGCUCGUAGGUGGGGUAAUGGCUAACCUAGGCGACGAUCCCUAGCUGGUCUGAGAGGAUGAUCAGCCACACUGGGACUGAGACACGGCCCAGACUCCUACGGAGGCAGCAGUGGGGAAUAUUGCACAAUGGGCGCAAGCCUGAUGCAGCCAUGCCGCGUGUAUGAAGAAGGCCUUAGGGUUGUAAAGUACUUUCAGUGGGGAGGCGUUACCGGCAGAAGAAGCACCGGCUAACUCCGUGCCAGCAGCCGCGGUAAUAC